GCUGAAGAACGCAGCGAAAUGCGAUAAGUAAUGUGAAUUGCAGAAUUCCGUGAAUCAUCGAAUCUUUGAACGCACAUUGCGCCCCCUGGUAUUCCGGGGGGCAUGCCUGUCCGAGCGUCAUUGCAACCUUCAAGCGCGGCUUGUGUGUUGGGUCUCGUCCCCCGUGGACGGGCCCGAAAGGCAGUGGCGGCGUCCCGACAUGGUGCCCGAGCGUAUGGGAAUCCUCUUCCGCUCGAAUCGGCCCAUGCGGCGCUGGUCGUAACCAAAUUUUUUACCGGUUGACCUCGGAUCAGGUAGGGAUACCCGCUGAACUUAAGCAUAUCAAUAAGCGGAGGA
rnacentral:misc_RNA from 1 species